UCAGGCGGGGAGUGUUCUGACACUUUCCGGAUUUUUGCGUUCCGUAUUUUAGUUUUUUGGUUUAUACGCACUUAGGUAACGUUGCGUAUACGAUUAGCAGAAUGGCAUGGCUGCUCACGGUUUUGGCCGUCCUUUCCUUGUAACUGUUUAAUUGCAACCGAGUGCGUGUUCCCAUGGUUAUUUUACCCUUUCAUGUCUUGCUAUAAAUAAACAGAAAACUGUUUAUUGUUUUAUUCAUUGGACCUGGCAAGAUAAGGGUUACGUCUCUGCCCGUGUUCAUGUGGCAGUGAGGCAAAUUAUUGAGCCAUAUGAGGAAUCAAAUCCACUGCAAUACUGGAAGGAAAAUGCAGACAGAUUUCCUAUUCUUGCAAAACUUGCCAAAAAAGCCUCAAUGUACCAGCUUCUUCUGCACCAGUUGAACGGCUUUCUAGUAUUGCUGGGAAAAUCUUCUGACCAGAUAGAUGUAGACUUAGUGACUGUACAAUUUAAAUGCUAAUGAUGAUAAAGUGUAAUGAAAAAGCUUGUAAAUAAGUAUUGAAAUCAGAAUAAAGAUUACUUUAAAAAAUA